UGUAGGAGUGAGCCUGCUCGCGAUGGCGGUCUGUCAGUCACAUUUGCAUGAACUGACAGACCGCCAUCGCGAGCAGGCUCACUCCUACA
rnacentral:misc_RNA from 1 species